GACGAACGCUGGCGGCGUGCCUAAUACAUGCCAGUUGAGCGCUGAAGGUUGGUACUUGUACCAACUGGAUGAGCAGCGAACGGGUGAGUAACGCGUGGGGAAUCUGCCUUUGAGCGGGGGACAACAUUUGGAAACGAAUGCUAAUACCGCAUAAAAACUUUAAACACAAGUUUUAAGUUUGAAAGAUGCAAUUGCAUCACUCAAAGAUGAUCCCGCGUUGUAUUAGCUAGUUGGUGAGGUAAAGGCUCACCAAGGCGAUGAUACAUAGCCGACCUGAGAGGGUGAUCGGCCACAGUGGGACUGAGACACGGCCCAAACUCCUACGGGAGGCAGCAGUAGGGAAUCUUCGGCAAUGGACGAAAGUCUGACCGAGCAACGCCGCGUGAGUGAAGAAGGUUUUCGGAUCGUAAAACUCUGUUGGUAGAGAAGAACGUUGGUGAGAGUGGAAAGCUCAUCAAGUGACGGUAACUACCCAGAAGGGGACGGCUAACUACGUG
rnacentral:rRNA from 1 species